rfam:Oryza meridionalis cultivar OR44 (W2112) chromosome 9, whole genome shotgun sequence.
AAUAAGUUCAUGUCCAACGUUUAACCGUUCAUCUUAUUUAAUUUCGUUUUAUAAUUAGUAUUUUUAUUGUUAUUAGAUGAUAAAACAUAAAUAGCUUGUUUUUAAGUUUUCUCACAGAAUUUUCAAAUAAGAUGAUGGUUAAAUGUUGAACACAAAUACUCACGGUUGUAUUUAUU